rnacentral:tRNA from 1 species
GGAGCCGUGAGCUUUGUUCGCAUCGAGGGGGUCAGGGGUUCAAAUCCCCUCAGCUCCACCA